rfam:Ictidomys tridecemlineatus contig093349, whole genome shotgun sequence.
GGGGUUGUGGCUCAGAGGUAGAGCGCUCGUCUACCACACGUGAGGCACUGGGUUCGAUCCUCAGCACCA